GGUCUCUGGUUUCUCUUCAGACUGCAUAAAUCUUUUGCCUUUUUCUAAAGAUUUCCACAGAAAGGAACAUUUGCAUUGAGAACCAGUAUGGUUUGGUGGUUGGAGUGUUGGAUUUGCAAUCU
ensembl:snRNA U5 U5 spliceosomal RNA